UACGUAUGGACCGAGCGUUGUCCGGAAUCAUUGGGCGUAAAGCGUACGUAGGCGGUCUAGUAAGUUAGAAGUGAAAGGCGUUAGCUCAACUCAUGUAAGCAUUUAAAACUGCUAGGCUUGAGAGAGUGAGGGGAAAGUGGAAUUCCUAGUGUAGGGGUGAAAUGCGCAGAUAUUAGGAGGAAUAUCAGUGGCGAAGGCGACUUUCUGGCAAUCAUCAGACGCUGAGGUACGAAAGCGUGGGUAGCAAACAGG
rnacentral:rRNA from 1 species